rnacentral:rRNA from 1 species
UACAGAGGGGGCAAGCGUUAUUCGGAAUUAUUGGGCGUAAGGGGCGCGUAGGCGGCUUGGCAAGUGGAAGGUGAAAUCCCUCGGCUUAACCGAGGAACUGCCCUCCAAACUGCUUCGCUUGAGACCGGGAGAGGUGAGUGGAAUUCCCAGUGUAGCGGUGAAAUGCGUAGAGAUCGGAAAGAACACCAACGGCGAAAGCACUCUGCUGGGCCGACACUGACACUGAGAGACGAAAGCUAGGGGAGCGAAUGGG